rnacentral:tRNA from 4 species
GGCGAAAUCGGUAGACGCAGUUGAUUCAAAAUCAACCGUAGAAAUACGUGCCGGUUCGAGUCCGGCC